rnacentral:lncRNA from 1 species
CAAAAAACAAAAUAAAAAUGAAAUAAUAAACUUUGGAAGCUCCAAGGCUGCUGCUGGAGGCUUUCCCGAGGAGAAGCUGCCAUUUCCACGGCAAGCGGAGCGCGGCGGGGCCACCGGGAUCGAUUUUCCCAUCGGGAAAAAUGGGAAGUUUUUCCCUGCUCGGAAUUGUCUGGGCCAGCAGUGGCUGCGCCGGGCUCCUUCCAGCUUCCAGCAGCCGCUUCCUGCUCUUCCUUCCGGAGCUGAUCCCGAAUUUCACCCCAAACUCCCCCCCCCAUUCCCGGUUAUUCCUCUCUCCGUGCGAAUUCCCACUCCAAUCCCUGCUGCCUUCCCAUCCCCUCCUUCCCUUCUCCCUCUGCUCCUUGCCACCAUCCCGAAUUGAUCCCUAAAAUCCCUUUUUCAGUGUAUCCCUAAUUCCCUUUUUCAGCCUUCCUAGCCCACCUUGUGCUGCUGCCUUCAAAGCCCAUUCCCGAAUCCUCCUGCUUCUCCAAAAUCCCCCAAAAAUCCCCAAAAUCCCCCCUUUCCGCUCGGCCCAGCCGAUUCCCGGCUCCUUUCCCUGUCCCUUUUCCCAUUCCCAGCUCCUUUCCCGGCUCCUUUCCCCAUUUCCGACCUUUCCCUGCCCCUUUCCCUGUCCCUUUCCCAUUCCCAACCUUUCCCAGCUCCUUUCCCCAUUCACAGUUCUUCCCGGCUCCUUUCCCAGUUUUUCCCUGCUCCUUUCUCCUUUCCCAGCUCCUUUCCCCAUUCCCAGCUCCUUUCCCUGCUCCAUUCCCGGGUCUUUUCCCCAUUCCCAGCCUUUUUCUGCCCCUUUCCCCAUUCCCAACGUUUCCUGGCCCCUUUCCCUGCUCGUUUCCCCAUUCCCAGCCUUUCCCUGCUCCUUUCCCAGCUCUUUUCCCGUUCCCAGCCUUUCCCGGUUCCUUUCCCUGCCCCUUUCCCCAUUCCCAGCUCCUUUCCCAGUUUUUCCCUGCCCCUUUCCCCAUUCCCAGCUCCAUUCCCAGCUCCUUUUCCAGCCCCUUUCCCGAUUCCCAGCCUUUCCCGGCUCUUUCCCCAUUCCCUGCCCCUUUCCCAGCUCCUUUCCCCAUUCCCAACCUUUCUCUGCUCCUUUCCCGGCUCCUUUCCCCAUUCCCAGCCUUUCCCAGCCCCUUUCCCCAUUCCCAGCUCCUUUCCCGGCUCUUUCCCCAUUCCCAGCCCUUCCCAGCUCCUUUCCCCAUUUCCCAGCUCCUUUCCCUGCUCCAUUCUCCAUUCCCAGCAUUUCCCGGAUCCUUUCCCCAUUCCCAGCUCCUUUCCCGGCUCUUUCCCCAUUCCCAGCCUUUCCCUGCCCCUUUCCCAGUUUUUCCCGGCUCCUUUCCCCAUUCCCAGCCUUUCCCUGCUCCAUUCCCGGCUCUUCUUUCCCCAUUCCCUGCUCCUUUCCCCAUUCCCUGCUCCUUUCCCGGCUCCUUUCCCGGCUCUUUCCCCAUUCCCAGCCUUUU